UAGGGAAUCUUCCACAAUGGACGAAAGUCUGAUGGAGCAACGCCGCGUGAGUGAAGAAGGGUUUCGGCUCGUAAAGCUCUGUUGUUAAAGAAGAACACGUAUGAGAGUAACUGUUCAUACGUUGACGGUAUUUAACCAGAAAGCCACGGCUAACUACGUGCAG
rnacentral:rRNA from 1 species